rnacentral:rRNA from 1 species
AUUGAACGCUGGCGGCAGGCCUAACACAUGCAAGUCGAACGAGUGGCGGACGGGUGAGUAGUCUCUGGGAAACUGCCCUGUGGAGGGGGGUAACUUGGAGAAGCGGUCGCUAAUCGCGCAUCCCAUCGGGUGUGCACAGAUGGGAUUAGCUAGUAGGUGGGGUAACGGCUCACCUAGGCGACGAUCCCUAGCUGGUCUGAGGGGAUGACCAGCCACACUGGAACUGAGACACGGGCCAGACUCCUACGGGAGGCAGCAGUGGGGAAUAUUGCACAAUGGGCGCAAGCCUGAUGCAGCCAUGCCGCGUGUAUGAAGAAGGCCUUCGGGUUGUAAAGUACUUUCAGCGAGGAGGCGUUACUCGCAGAAGAAGCACCGGCUAACUCCGUGCCAGCAGCCGCGGUAAUUC